GACGAACGCUGGCGGCGUGCCUAAUACAUGCAAGUAGAACGCUGAAGCUUGGUGCUUGCACCGAGCGGAUGAGUUGCGAACGGGUGAGUAACGCGUAGGUAACCUGCCUGGUAGCGGGGGAUAACUAUUGGAAACGAUAGCUAAUACCGCAUAAUAGUAGAUGUUGCAUGACAUUUGCUUAAAAGGUGCAAUUGCAUCACUACCAGAUGGACCUGCGUUGUAUUAGCUAGUUGGUGAGGUAACGGCUCACCAAGGCAACGAUACAUAGCCGACCUGAGAGGGUGAUCGGCCACACUGGGACUGAGACACGGCCCAGACUCCUACGGGAGGCAGCAGUAGGGAAUCUUCGGCAAUGGACGGAAGUCUGACCGAGCAACGCCGCGUGAGUGAAGAAGGUUUUCGGAUCGUAAAGCUCUGUUGUAAGAGAAGAACGAGUGUGAGAGUGGAAAGUUCACACUGUGACGGUAUCUUACCAGAAAGGGACGGCUAACUACGUGCCAGCAGCCGCGGUAAUACGUAGGUCCCGAGCGUUGUCCGGAUUUAUUGGGCGUAAAGCGAGCGCAGGCGGUUAGAUAAGUCUGAAGUUAAAGGCUGUGGCUUAACCAUAGUACGCUUUGGAAACUGUUUAACUUGAGUGCAAGAGGGGAGAGUGGAAUUCCAUGUGUAGCGGUGAAAUGCGUAGAUAUAUGGAGGAACACCGGUGGCGAAAGCGGCUCUCUGGCUUGUAACUGACGCUGAGGCUCGAAAGCGUGGGGAGCAAACAGG
rnacentral:rRNA from 2 species